UAUUAUUUUGUUAAAAUAGCAUAUCAAAUAUCUCAAACCAGUUAAAAUAUAGUGAAAUGUUGUACCGGACACACGUUGCUUUGAAGAAAACGUAAAAUCAAACAUAUGAAGAUGAUGAACAUCUUCCCUAACUAAUAGUUGAUGUACAGCCUCUAGAGGGUGAUUCUUUCUCCGUCACAGAUAUCAACAAAAAAUGAAGCAGCGUUUAACGAUGAAGAAGAUACCCAGUUGUGCGAUAACCAUUAACGUUGAAAAUCAAGAGGAAUACAUGGAUUGAAAACACUUAAAGAGAAUAUGCAUCGAGUCGAAUUUAAAACGGAAAAUAAUGGUCUACAAAAAGCGAAAAUAAUGGCAAAGGAAACGAGUGUGGCUGGGCCGCAAUACCAUCCAAUAUUUCAUGAAAGGCCAUGUUUUGGAUUGCCAUGAUUGUUAGCAAUGGCGGAUUAAGACGAAUGGAGGCCCUAAGCGGUCACACAAAAGUAGUGGCUUGGUUGAAGCGUCUAGCAGGGGAUUGUAUCAAAUAUCCCAACCAGAGAAAGAUUGAGUAGCAAUUAUGCUUGUGAGCGGAUGGUAGGUGCCAUUUUUGGGGCCCCUGGCCGACCCAGAUGUUCGACGCUUAAACAUCUAAAUACACAUUAAAACUGAAGGAAAUACACAUCUAAUCAAUUACUUUAAAAAAUAAUAUAAUUGUAUUGAUUCGUGAUGUAUUUUGUAGUUUUGACCUGCAUGCACAAUUCUAAAAUAUUCCUAUGAAUCACAGAAAGGCCUAAAGCCUAAAAGCCUGCCUUAUAAGCUUGAAAAUUACACGUGGCAAAGAACCCUAAAAAAGCUGAAUAAAAUCACGUGCUUUUAA